rnacentral:rRNA from 1 species
GAUCAACGCUGGCGGCGUGCCUAAAACAUGCAAGUCGGACGGGCGCUUUUGGGCGCCAGUGGCGGACGGCUGAGGAACACGUGGGUGACCUGCCCUUGGGUGGGGGAUAACCCCUCGAAAGGGGGGCUAAGACCGCAUGGGCUCGCUGGGGACGGCCCAGGGAGCAAAGCUCGCGAGAGCGCCCGAGGAGGGGCCCGCGGCCGAUUAGCUGGUUGGUGGGGUAACGGCCCACCAAGGCGACGAUCGGUAGCCGGUCUGAGAGGAUGAUCGGCCAGAC